rnacentral:lncRNA from 1 species
GAAGACAGAAGAUCAUGGUACAAGUUCAGUGUCGGACACCAGUCCGAACUGCUCGUUAACGACUUCGGAUCGCAGCCAGGAUACAAAAGCAUCCGGCGGCGUGCGACGGCGUGGAUUCACUGAACCACAUGAUAGUGGUUGUACUUGUGGGCGGAGCCUCAAGGAUCCUGGUCCGGAAGACAUUUCUAUCGGUGUUCCACAGUAUGUGCAUGCUUUUAGCACCUCCAACCCAUCUAUGAUCGUUCUUAUUGAAAUGCUGAAACAGCAGCUCGCCAUGACGAGACAGUUCAUGGACCGCAGCCGCCAUCUGCACUGGAGUCUGGUCCAGAGUCUGGAACCACCAAACUACAAAUACACCAGCCUGAAGGACACCAAGAGGGUAACGAGG